AGCGAACGGACGAGAAGCUUGCUUCUCUGAUGUUAGCGGCGGACGGGUGAGUAACACGUGGAUAACCUACCUAUAAGACUGGGAUAACUUCGGGAAACCGGAGCUAAUACCGGAUAAUAUUUUGAACCGCAUGGUUCAAAAGUGAAAGACGGUCUUGCUGUCACUUAUAGAUGGAUCCGCGCUGCAUUAGCUAGUUGGUAAGGUAACGGCUUACCAAGGCAACGAUGCAUAGCCGACCUGAGAGGGUGAUCGGCCACACUGGAACUGAGACACGGUCCAGACUCCUACGGGAGGCAGCAGUAGGGAAUCUUCCGCAAUGGGCGAAAGCCUGACGGAGCAACGCCGCGUGAGUGAUGAAGGUCUUCGGAUCGUAAAACUCUGUUAUUAGGGAAGAACAUAUGUGUAAGUAACUGUGCACAUCUUGACGGUACCUAAUCAGAAAGCCACGGCUAACUACGUGCCAGCAGCCGCGGUAAUACGUAGGUGGCAAGCGUUAUCCGGAAUUAUUGGGCGUAAAGCGCGCGUAGGCGGUUUUUUAAGUCUGAUGUGAAAGCCCACGGCUCAACCGUGGAGGGUCAUUGGAAACUGGAAAACUUGAGUGCAGAAGAGGAAAGUGGAAUUCCAUGUGUAGCGGUGAAAUGCGCAGAGAUAUGGAGGAACACCAGUGGCGAAGGCGACUUUCUGGUCUGUAACUGACGCUGAUGUGCGAAAGCGUGGGGAAUCAACAGGAUUAGAUACCCUGGUAGUCCACGCCGUAACGAUGAGUGCU
rnacentral:rRNA from 1 species